rnacentral:rRNA from 1 species
GUGCCAGCCGCCGCGGUAACACCGGCAGCCCAAGUGAUGGCCGAUAUUAUUGGGCCUAAAGCGUCCGUAGCUGGCCGCACAAGUCCGUCGGGAAAUCCACUCGCUUAACGAGUGGGCGUCCGGCGGAAACUGUGCGGCUUGGGACCGGAAGAUCCGAGGGGUACGUCCGGGGUAGGAGUGAAAUCCUAUAAUCCCGCACGGACCACCGAUGGCGAAAGCACUUCGAGAAAACGGAUCCGACAGUGAGGGACGAAAGCUAAGAUCGCGAACCGGAUUAGAUACCCUAGUAGUCC